rnacentral:rRNA from 1 species
UACGUAGGGGGCAAGCGUUGUCCGGAAUCAUUGGGCGUAAAGCGCGCGUAGGCGGCCGGUAAGUCCGCUGUAAAAGUCCAGGGCUCAACCCUGGAAAGCCGGUGGAUACUGUCGGGCUAGAGUCCGGAAGAGGCGAGUGGAAUUCCUGGUGUAGCGGUGGAAUGCGUAGAUAUGUGGAGGAAUACCGAUGGCGAAGGCAGCCCCCUGGGAUAACACUGACGCUCAUGCACGAAAGCGUGGGGAGCAAACAGG